CAUGUAUUAGAACAGCGAGACUGUAAAAUGAAAACUCCUCCCUUGCUUUUCCUGAAACAAAGCAACAAGCAUGUAUUUGAAAUCAUGAGCACAUAAAGAAGGAUUUGUGUUUAUUAUCAUAGUAAGCAGGAUGCCAUGCAUACUACUGUAAGGUUCACGACUACGCAGCUCUACAGGGGUUUAUGUUAGAAACACUGCAAAAAAUAAAUAUGGAGCUCUACAAAUCCAGGGUGGUUUGUUGUGUCUUAGUCUUAUUAUCCAAGUUAAUGAUGCUGCCAUGUCACAGCUGCACUCCAUGCCAGCUGGCUCUCCAGUGGUGCUGCUUGGCACCUGUGGAGCCAAGUUAGGCUUCAUGGGUCUGCCCCACGUCGAAGGGCAUAUGCCUCUCUUCACCUGGGAAGCUCAGACUGGAGGAAAGAACCAGACCUGGGCCAGACAGGGGCUGUGGGUGCCUUAGUUGCAGCUCUGAUGGCUGGGGAGGGCUGCAGGAUGGACAAAGCAAAUGACGAAGACAUCAUCCAUUUUCCCAACUCCAUCCUGGCUCCUGUGCCUGAUGGCAGAGCAGGAAAGCAAAAAGGAACUCACAGUCACAGUUUAGGACCUGGGUGCAGCAGACAACAGCUCAGGACUCAACUCAAAGGACAUGGCUUGCCAUUACUGUCAGUGCAUGUUCAUAUUGCACCAGUCCACAGGUUCAGCAAAAUCACAGCAGCAUACGGCUACAGUCACGCUGCAGUGAAUUAAGACUAUAUGGAUGUCCAGGUGAAGGCUUUGGAGCGUCACAUACACAUAUCUCCUCCUUUAAGGUCUGCAGCUAAGAAAAGCUGUUCUGAAUGAGAUUCAGAGAGGCUCAAUCCUCUCAUUCCCUGAAGAGAUCCCAAAAGCAGAAAGCAAGACCAGGAUUGCAUUGGUAUAUUGGCUGAUGGGUACAAAAUCUUCUGACAUGUCGUUCGCUCAGCCCUGAUUGGAAAAUAUCUUUAAUUAAAACACCACAUCAGAAUCCUGAACCAAUUUCAUCCCAGCUCUGCUAAGUGCUUUGUACAAAACAUUAACUCUAAAAUCUCAUUACACAUUAGCAAUCCCUGUGACAAACAUAAAUGAUAAUUUAGCUCUAAUGCAUUCUGGAGCAAGCCAUUUUUAAGGGAGUCGAAUGAUAUCAGCUUGCUAGGAGAAGGAGAAGAGUUGAAUUUAGCUGUCUCUUUAUUUUUUAAACAAAUGGCCCUAGCUGGUUCAGCAAUGGGCUGUACAAAUCAUUGCAGUGUGUAGCUCUGACAGUAUACAGCAGCUGUUUAGCCAGAACCUGGCACUCCUGCCUGGGCUGGGUUUUGCAAUCCCACCAGCAGUGCUAAGUUCACGGGCCUUCAUAAGCAUUCAGGGAAAGGAAAAGGCAAUGGGGAAGGUCGGAUGGGAAAGGUGGGGUGCUGAUUUGACAGGACAGUGGUGGGGAGGAGCAGUAUCUGGAGUUCCCUGGUAUUCUGAGUUUGCUCCAAACCACAGGUAGAGGGGACAAGGAAUGGGGCUGACUUUCUCCAGUCAUUUCAGCUGGUUUCAUAG
ensembl:lncRNA